AUGGGACAGGGAUGGGACAGGGAUGGGACGGGAAUGGGACAGGGAUGGGACAGGGAUGGGACAGGGAUGGGACAGGGAUGGGACAGGGAUGGGGAUGGGAUGGGGACGGGGAUGGGACAGGGAUGGGACGGGGAUGGGGACAGGGAUGGGACGGGGAUGGGACAGGGAUGGGAGAGGGAUGGGAUGAGGAUGGGACAGGGAUGGUACAGGGAUGGGACAGGGAUGGGACGGGGAUGGGACGGGGAUGGGACGGGGAUGGGACGGGGAUGGGAUGAGGAUGGGACAGGGAUGGGACGGGGAUGGGUACGGGGAUGGGGAGGGGAUGGGAUGGGGAUGGGACGGGGAAGGGGACGGGGAUGGGACAGGGAUGGGGAUGGGAUGGGGACAGGGAUGGGACGGGAAUGGGACAGGGAUGGGACAGGGAUGGGGAUGGGGACGGGGAUGGGACAGGGAUGGGGACAGGGAUGGGACGGGGAUGGGACGGGGAUGGGACAGGGAUGGGAGAGGGAUGGGAUGAGGAUGGGACAGGGAUGGGACAGGGAUGGGACGGGGAUGGGACGGGGAUGGGUACGGGGAUGGGGAGGGGAUGGGACAGGGAUGGGACGGGGAUGGGACGGGGAUGGGAUGAGGAUGGGACAGGGAUGGGACGGGGAUGGGACGGGGAUGGGUACGGGGAUGGGGAGGGGAUGGGACAGGGAUGGGACGGGGAUGGGACGGGGAUGGGAUGGGGAUGGGACAGGGAUGGGAUGGGGAUGGGGAUGGGACAGGGAUGGGACAGGGAUGGGGACGGGGAUAGGACGGGGAUGGGGACAGGGGCGACAGGAAGCGGGGAUUGGGAUGGGAUAUCAGCGAGAAUCACCCCAUCAGGGGAUCAGGCUGAGGGCAGCUCCCAAAAAUUCCCCCCAUGCUCAGCAGAGCCCGUGCUGCCUCCCCGCUGCGGCGUGGUGGCACAGGGGUGAGCAGCAUGCCCGAGGCACCUCAGCAGCCAUCAGGAUUUUGAAAUAA
rnacentral:lncRNA from 1 species